CCCAACGACAGAGUCUCUCUCUAGUAUAAAUUUGGGACAUGAAAAUUAAAACUUACCUGGAGGAUCUCCUAGUCCUCUAUUUAUAGAGGGGCUAAUGAGAUCGUUGGAAAAGUUUGUUAAAUUGUUAGAGGCCAGCUGUUGAAUUUGUUAGGUCUUUGGAGACCAGUAUAGAGUUUGUUUGGCUGUAGGAGGCCAGCUGUAAAUGAAUUAGAGCAUAGAUGUAUAUAUUGGCUGGAAUGAGAUCAUACUUAGCUGUAUGUAUCAGUUGGGGAUG
rnacentral:lncRNA from 1 species